rnacentral:rRNA from 1 species
UGGGGAAUAUUGCAUAAUGGGGGAAACCCUGAUGCAGCGACGCCGCGUGAGCGAAGACGGCUUUCGAGUCGUAAAGCUCUGUCCUAUGAGAAGAUAAUGACGGUAUGAUAGGAGGAAGCUCUGGCUAAAUACGUGCCAGCAGCCGCGGUAAUACGUAUGGGGCGAGCGUUGUCCGGAAUUAUUGGGCGUAAAGGGUACGUAGGCGGUUUUUUAAGUCAGGUGUCAAAGCGUGGAGCUUAACUCCAUUAAGCACUUGAAACUGAAAGACUUGAGUGAAGGAGAGGAAAGUGGAAUUACUAGUGUAGCGGUGAAAUGCGUAGAUAUUAGGAGGACUACCGGUGGCGAAGGCGACUUUCUGGACUUUUACUGACGCUAAGGUACGAAAGAGUGGGGAGCAAACAGG